AAUGAACGUUGGCGGCGUGGAUUAGGCAUGCAAGUCGUGCGGAAAGGCUCCUUCGGGAGUACUCGAGCGGCGAAAGGGAGAGUAACGCGUGGAUAUCUACCCCCUGGACUGGGACAGCGGCGGGAAACUGCCGGUAAUACCAGAUAACGUCUGCGGACCAAAGGUGUGAUUCCGCCGGGGGAUGAGUCCGCGUCCUAUUAGCUUGUUGGUGGGGUAACGGCCUACCAAGGCGAAGAUGGGUACCGGGUGUGAGAGCAUGGCCCGGCUCACUGGGACUGAGACACUGCCCAGACACCUACGGGUGGCUGCAGUCGAGAAUCUUCGGCAAUGGGCGCAAGCCUGACCGAGCGACGCCGCGUGCGGGAUGAAGGCCUUCGGGUUGUAAACCGCUGUCAGAGGGGAGGAAAUGCAUGAGAGUUCUCUCUCAUGUUUGACCUAUCCUCAGAGGAAGUACGGGCUAAGUUCGUGCCAGCCGCCGCGGUAAGAC
rnacentral:rRNA from 1 species